GUAGUCCUACGGAGGCAGCAGUGGGGAAUAUUGGGCAAUGGGCGCAAGCCUGACCCAGCAAAGCCGCGUGAAGGAAGAAGGCUUUCGGGUUGUAAACUUCUUUUAAGAGGGAAGAGCAGAAGACGGUACCUCUUGAAUAAGCCACGGCUAACUACGUGCCAGCAGCCGCGGUAAUACGUAGGUGGCAAGCGUUGUCCGGAUUUACUGGGUGUAAAGGGCGUGUAGCCGGGCUGACAAGUCAGAUGUGAAAUCCCGUGGCUCAACCACGGAACUGCAUUUGAAACUGUCGGUCUUGAGUAUCGGAG
rnacentral:rRNA from 1 species